ACAAAUCACCCAGUCCAUCCCCUAAAUAUUUUUACAUCGGCCGAGAGUUCGAGAAUUUUCUCCGAUGUCAGGUGCCUCAAAGUCAGACCCUGAUUUGCCCUGAACCCACCUUUCUGUUGUUUGAAACCUUCAACAACUGCGAAGUACUGUCUGAACUCCCUCUACAAAUAAAGAGAAUGGUCGACCCAACAUUCCAGCUCCUACUUCCCAAUUCGGGUACUCCCCAGGCAAUAUAAAUGAAAAGAAGAAACUGAACUUGCGAGCAAGAAACACUCUUGAUAUAAAAACAACAUUUUUAUAAAGAUAUUACAUGAGAGUCGGCUAUUCCAAUAAACCCUAUGUUUAGUAGUAGUAGUAUAAGGUUUUACGGCGCUCGCAACUGCUAAGGUCAUAUGAGCGCGCAACCCUAUGUUUAUUGCUUUUCGUUUUCGAUUGGUCUUCCCUCGUUAUUCAAGAAUUUUUUUCUCCGGCUUGCUUGUCUCAACACUAAAAAUAACCUCCUACCCACCCACCCAUCCUCUCUUGUCUUGUGAGUUCUUUCAAUGGUUCUCUCUGUCUCAGUUCAAGUAGAAAGCACUACCACCCACCCGGCCAACCGUCCACCCGUCCAGUCUCACAAACAUAAUAAUAUCAACUCUCAAAUGAAUGUGUUGCUGGUGUAGUGAAACGGGCAAACAGACAAGCCGUGUAAUUAAAAUGCAUUCCAGUCUAUAUCUGUAUACACCUACCUCCCGGACAUUCAUUGCAAUUUUCGCUCCGGGUCUCCACAGAUAUUUAUUCUUCCGUACUCUCUUCUUAUAUGAAUACACACAGGCGUGGAAAAAAGAAACAGAAAACAGAAAGGCUGUAAAAGCGCCUGUAUAGUAGAUGGUUCGACGAAAGUAACUAACACGGCAGAAAGUAUUAAUGUCUACCGUUUUUCACUUAAGUGGCAUUUACAUUUCCAGCCGAGUAGAUUUAUAAUCUUACAGGUCAAGCUUGUUUGUUAUUAUUCUUUCUCAUUGCUCUUUGGGUGUCCAUGAACGUGGAACUUUGUUGAAAAUGGCGCCCUGCCAGGACUUGAAACGAAUGCUGUCCCAUGAAAUGCGUUUCCGCUUUGUAAAAUCUUUACUCUGUGCUGGCCCGCAUAAGACGUUGGAAGUAAACGUGGAGUGAAAAUAACUAGUUGUAUGUAACCAUCACAUUUACUUUGGAUUAUUGAUUGUUUUCAGGACGCCACUGGUAGUUCCAACAUUUUUUGGCUAUCACUUUUGCGUUUCCGUCUAUCAGUGUGUUCUAUUUUUCUCUCUGCACUAAAUUAUGACGGCUGGUGUAUCGAUGUUCUUCUCUUUGACUCAGACUAACAAGCCAGACGUUUUGGAAUUCCGAGUUUAGCACCGAUAACUGGCUUCCUUUGUAGGCUUAUUUGAGUUUUCAUUUCAAAAUAACGGUUCUUUCAUCGUAAAACAAAUUGGCGUUGGGGUGGGUAAAUCUGGUCUAGAUUUUAAUUCCUUCAAGCCCUGGGCCUUUCUGCUUUCAGGAUAUAUCUAACAUAAUCCAACGGAAUUCUCCUAGGUUUUGAUUUUUUUAACGAGAGUUCCGGUAGCUCAAUUGGUACCACGCUGAACGACUGUGCUUAUAACGUUGUUUUGAAUCCCCAAAUGAGCGUGCCUGUCAUUCUAUUAUUUACAGAGUUUUUAGAGCUCUUCACUCACUUCGCAUAGUCCUAUAGGAGACGGACCCUCCGAUCGAAGGUCCAAUUUCUGAAAUAACCUAGCAGUGUUCAUUAUAAAGGGGCGAGCUGUACAAAACCCACAAUGCUACGGUUUGCUCUCGGAUGCGUAGGGUUAAUAUUCGUUCUGUUUCACAUGAUAAGACUCUGUCUUUGCUACCCCACUCAGUACACCUGUCACUCGUGGCUGGUGCUCUGCCAUCGUGGAAAAAGUCAAUGUAUCAUCGCUGGUACUUUGUAUAAACACACACGGCGAUCUUGUAACUCACAGUGCGAUGAAGGAGGAAGAUCUCACAAAAUGUGCCUGGUAUACAAUGGCUUGACGAUAUCGAACUCGGUAUGAUAAGGAACGGAUACCAUUACUCCCAUAUCAACAUUUUAAGGUUGUUGGUUGGUUUGUUGUUUUUUUUACAGGAGUUGAGCCAGGAAUGUGACUUUUAUCUGUGACAGGACCAAGCCAAAUGUGUGUUAGAGAGCAGUAGCAAUUCCCCAAAUGCAAACCACCCAAAUGAAAUAUUACCGCAUCCUGUCUGGGAUUCUGACCAAGGAUAUCUGUACAUCAGUCCAGCUUGAUACAAUCCGAACUCACGCUGUGUCUUAUUAUGUAUGUCUAUUUGUAUACCUUAUGAGUUCUGUCGAAUGUUUAAAGCAUAAUGCGAUGGAUGGAGGCGUUGAAAAUGGUUUGUAUACAGUCAAACCUGCUUUAACGGCCACCUGUCCAAGACAAUCACAUUAUUUAUGAGCAUAAUCCUAAUGAAUGAGGCCGUUAUCAUUGUUAGUCGUGGAUAACUUCUCCUCAACGACACACGAUUUCCCGACUUCUGUAGUGUAGCGGUUAAGCUACACGCCGUUGUUCACAGGUGACAUGAUGUGACACCCUGUCUUACUUCUAGAAAGAAGUACAGUCGAAACUGUCUUAGACGGACAUCUGUUGUCGAGGAGAAAAGUGGUCGUCAUAGGCAGGAGAGCGUCCCACACAGUGUCAUUAUUUUUUUAAAGACAAGGAAGGGGGGGGGGUCGAAUGGGAAGAGGCCAUUUGUACAGCUAGGUAGUUGUCUUGUUAAAUACAAGUGGUGGCUGUAAGUUAGCUAAGUGUAGGUUCGACAGUAAGUAAUUCAAGCCACACCUGAACACCUUCCACCUAUUAACCACCCACAGCACAAAGUGUGGAUUCUUUCAGCAGGUAGCCAAACACCACCUUGACAGCAGUAGCAGCAGCUGCUAUCACUUGUCAAUCCUCCGUUGGUAGUGGUACUGGUGGGUGAGGCGGGAAGAAUUUUGGUGUCAGAUCUACAGCCCUCGGAGUUCACGCUCGCUUUGCGAUCUUGGUCGCGCGCUAGGCUAACGGGCUGAGCGAGCGAGCGAGAGAGCGAGAGAGAGCGAACGUGCUUCUUCCUCCGAGACCAACUGGACGCGCACCGUCGGUCUUCUCCGCCGAGUGCCCUGUGGUUCGAAUAUUUUUGACUUCUUUCUUCGCUCAUUCCGAGUCCGGCAGAUUAAGUUCGUUGGUGUUUGUGGAUAGCAUUCUCACGUGUACUUUUCGUUGAUAUCUUCGCUGUAAUUGUGACCGCUGUGAAUUUAUUGUGAAAGGUGCCAAAACAAACUUCAAACAACGCUUCUUCUUCGUUUGACGGAAAGUGAGAGAAAUCAGAGCGAGUGGUUCACAAAAAUCCGAUUCUUGAAUCAGGAGCACAAAGCUUUGUGUUCGUAUUUAUACGUACAGAAUAUUUGUGAACACAGGUUCGGCUCAUGUUGUGCAAACUCUGACCUUUCGCGACACUCUGGGCUCUGCUAGUAGCGUGUCAGUAACAACACCUACGUCUGCUGCCUAAAGAAAACAUACUUUGGGUGAUUUUAUCAUAGAGUGGAAUCGCGAGCUUUUAUUCUCUUAUACCAACCGAGAAAACAACCUUUGUGGAACAAUUAAACAUAGAAUGUGAUUUGAACAUUCCAGCAUAUUGAAUCAGUUAAUUGACCAUCAGAGUUGUGACUGUAACGACUUCACUUACGGGACUGGAAUAACGGCUGUGAAGUGAAUCUUAUAUUUUAAAAAUCCGUAGCCAACGUGCCCACGGUACUGGUUUUAAACCUUAUUUUUCACGGAAAUAACCUUCCCAUCUGUGUAAGAAUCCGAGGCCAUGAGUGCCAAAGUCGCAGCCUUCCACCCGCACAACCCCGAGGGAACCAUCCAUAGGGUCCAGUCUACGAGCGCGCUGAGAAUACCCAGACAGAGGAAGACCUUCUGGCAAAGGCAUGCGGAGGACCUGAUUGUGACGCCGUUCGCCCAGAUCUUGGCCAGUCUGCGCAGUGUCCGCACCAACUACGUCACACUGACCAAUGUCCCGCCGGCCAGCAGAGAGAGGUGAGUACCCAUA
rnacentral:misc_RNA from 1 species